GGACUACUGGGGUUUCUAAUCCUGUUUGCUCCCCACGCUUUCGCGCCUCAGUGUCAGUAUCUGUCCAGGUAGCCGCCUUCGCCACUGGUGUUCCUUCCGAUAUCUACGCAUUUCACCGCUACACCGGAAAUUCCACUACCCUCUACAGUACUCCAGUUCGCCAGUUUAAGAUGCAAUUCCUAGGUUAAGCCCAGGGAUUUCACAUCUCACUUAACAAACCACCUACGCGCCCUUUACGCCCAGUAAUUCCGAUUAACGCUUGCACCCUCUGUAUUACCGCGGCUGCUGGCAC
rnacentral:rRNA from 1 species